CAGUAGCCGCGGGAAUACGGAGGGAGCUAGCGUUGUUCGGAAUUACUGGGCGUAAAGCGCGCGUAGGCGGUUACUCAAGUCAGAGGUGAAAGCCCGGGGCUCAACCCCGGAACUGCCUUUGAAACUAGGUGACUAGAAUCUUGGAGAGGUCAGUGGAAUUCCGAGUGUAGAGGUGAAAUUCGUAGAUAUUCGGAAGAACACCUGUGGCGAAGGCGACUGACUGGACAAGUAUUGACGCUGAGGUGCGAAAGCGUGGGGAGCAAACAGGAUUAGAUACCCGCGUAGUCCCUGUCUCUUAUAC
rnacentral:rRNA from 1 species